CUCUCGGCUUUAGCGCCAUUUUCUUGGAAACCUCUGCGCCAUGAGAGCCAAGGUGAGCGGUUCCUGGUAGUAAGCUUGGGAACGUAGGAGUUGGCGAGUAGUAGGGGGGAGACUAAGGCAAGUCCGCCAUACCUCCUGAACUACUGGGUUUCAAGGGUGCCCAAGAACUGGUGGGAGAGAAAAGUGGAGGAAGAAGCGAAUGCGCAGGCUGAAGCGCAAAAGAAGAAAGAUGAGGCAGAGGUCCAAGUAAACCGCUAGCUUGUUGCACCGUGGAGGCCACAGGAGCAGAAACAUGGAAUGCCAGACGCUGGGGAUGCUGGUACAAGUUGUGGGACUGCAUGCUACUCUACUGUCUAGAGCUUGUCUCAAUGGAUCUAGAACUUCAUCGCCCUCUGAUCGCCGAUCACCUCUGAGACCCACCUUGCUCAUAAACAAAAUGCCCAUGUUGGUCCUCUGCCCUGGACCUGUGACAUUCUGGACUAUUUCUGUGUUUAUUUGUGGCCGAGUGUAACAACCAUAUAAUAAAUCACCUCUUCCGCUGUUUUAGCUGAAGAAUU
rnacentral:sRNA from 1 species